rnacentral:rRNA from 1 species
CCUANGGGUGGCAGCAGUGAGGAAUUUUCCACAAUGGGCGAAAGCCUGAUGGAGCGACGCCGCGUGAAGGAUGAAGCUUUUCGGAGUGUAAACUUCUUUUAUGUGGGAUGAUUAUGACAGUACCACAUGAAUAAGGACCGGCUAACUACGUGCCAGCAGCCGCGGUAAUACGUAGGGUCCAAGCGUUAUCCGGAAUUACUGGGCGUAAAGAGUUCGUAGGCGGAUUUUUAAGUCGGAUGUUAAAUAUGCAGGCUCAACUUGUAUGCUGCAUCCGAUACUGGAAGUCUUGAGAGUGGAAGAGGUAAGCGGAAUUUCCGGUGGAGCGGUUAAAUGCGUAGAUAUCGGAAGGAACACCAAUGGCGAAGGCAGCUUACUGGGCCAUUUCUGACGCUGAGGAACGAAAGCGUGGGGAGCGAUCGGGAUUAGAUACCCGUNUANUC